CACGUAGGGUGCGAGCGUUGUCCGGAAUUAUUGGGCGUAAAGAGCUCGUAGGCGGUGUGUCGCGUCGGCCGUGAAAACCUGCAGCUUAACUGUGGGCUUGCGGCCGAUACGGGCAUCACUGGAGUUCGGCAGGGGAGACUGGAAUUCCUGGUGUAGCGGUGAAAUGCGCAGAUAUCAGGAGGAAUACCGGUGGCGAAAGCGACUCUCUGGACGGUUACUGACGCUGAGGCACGAAAGCGUGGGGAGCAAACAGG
rnacentral:rRNA from 1 species